rnacentral:rRNA from 1 species
UGGGGAAUAUUGCACAAUGGGCGCAAGCCUGAUGCAGCCAUGCCGCGUGUAUGAAGAAGGCCUUCGGGUUGUAAAGUACUUUCAGUCGGGAGGAAGUUGGUAAGGUUAAUAACCUUGGCAAUUGUCGUUACCGAGAGAAGAAGUACCGGCUAACUCCGUGCCAGCAGCCGCGGUAAUACGGAAGGUGCAAGCGUUAAUCGGAAUUACUGGGCGUAAAGCGCACGCAGGCGGUUGAUUGAGUCAGAUGUGAAAUCCCCGGGCUUAACCCGGGAAUUGCAUCUGAUACUGGUCAGCUAGAGGCUUGUAGAGGGGGGUAGGAUUCCAUGUGUAGCGGUGAAAUGAGUAGAGAUGUGGAGGAAUACCGGUGGCGAAGGCGGCCCCCUGGACAAAGACUGACGCUCAGGUGCGAAAGCGUGGGGAGCAAACAGG